rnacentral:sRNA from 1 species
AAAAUGUUUGGUGCAAAACCAACAGGAUUUUCUUUUGGAUCUGGCAAUGCUACAUUUGGUGCAAGUUCUACAACCCCUUUUGGAGCAGGGAACACAUCAACAUUUGGAACUGCAGGCAAUAAAACAUUUGGAGGAACGCCAGCAUUUGGUUCCCAGACCCCAAACACAGGAGGCACCAGCUUAUUUGGUCAGCAGGGCACGUCUCAGACAGCAGGCUUGUUUGGCCAGCAGAGCACAGGAGGGGCCUUUGGCAGCACCCAGUCAUCAGGGUUUACAUUUGGUGCUACACCUGCCACCAACCCUGGAGGCAGUAUGUUUGGUCAGCAGAGCACGGCACAGACAACAGGGGGGUUGUUUGCCUCACCUGUGUCCAGCACAAGUUUUGGAGCCAAAACUCCAGGAUUUGGAGGAUUUGGUACGAGCACUUCAGCAUCUGCAGGAUUGUUUGGAGGAAGUCAACAAACAUCAACUCUUUUUGGUAACCCAGGUGCUAGUGCAGGUUUUGUUCAGACAGCUCCAAAUGGAACGACUGUCAAGUUCAACCCUCCCACCAGCCAAGAUACAAUGGUCAAGAAUGGAGUCAGCACAAACAUCAAUACACGGCAUCAGUGCAUCACCGCAAUGAAAGAGUACCAAAGCAAAAGUCUAGAGGAGCUCCGAGUGGAAGACUAUUUGUCAAAUCGCAAAGGGAAACAGGCUACUACUGGGUUUGCAACCCCGUCAGCUUCUGGAACAUUUAAUCCAACUCCAGCCUCAACUGGUACAUCUUUGUUUGGACAACAGCAACAGCCACAACAGCCACAACAACAAAGUACAAGUUUAUUUGGACAAAGCAAACCUUUGUUUGGAGCUUCAACUGCCACCGGAACAUCGGGCUUCUCUGGCUUUGGCACCACAACAUCAACUCCAAGUUUGUUUGGCCAACCAACUCAAAAUAAGCCUCUCUUUGGUUCUACACCAACUACCCAGGCUGCAGGCUUUGGGGGAACAAGUGCAGGAUUUGGGGGAUUUGGUGGCUUUGGAAGUACUAGCACUGCAGGUUCAAGUCUGUUUAACUCAAAGCCAGCAUUUGGAACCACCACCACUGCGGCCAGUGGUUUUGGAGCACCUGCCAACAAUUUGUUUGCCAAACCAACCACAGGACCCACCCUCUUUGGAAGCACAUCCCAGCCCACCAGCUUUGGAACGACCAGUGGAUUUUCCUUUGGAAGUACUGCUGGAAUAGGAGGAACCAGCACAGGAGGGUUUGGAGCUAAGCCUCCACCAUUUGGAGGCACCAGUACCUUUAACUUAGGCCAGACUUCUGGGUUUAGCCUCAGUAAACCAUUUGGUGCCAGUACAGGAAUCGGCACAGGAUUUGGACCAGGCUUUGGUAUGAGUACAAGUUUGUCUCAAGGUGGCGCUUCAACAACCUUAAGCUCAGCUGCCCCUCAAGCAGCAGCAGUUCCCAAUGAGAUUCAAAUCAAACAGCAGUUGAUGGCUCUGGCUAGCUCCCCAUACAGUGAUUCCCCAUUGUUUUGGAAUCUGAAGCCAAGUGACAAGAAAAGGGAAGAAAUCUUGAAACCGACAAACCCCUUGGCCCAGAAAGCUGUUCUGUCCAAUCAGUAUAAAGUCAGCUCCAGACCCACAGCCAAAAUGAAACCCAAAUCAUUGCACAACAUGCUCAAUGGCUCAAAGAACCACAUUUUUGAGGGCUUGGAAGAUGAUGACUUUAGUGGUGGAAAUGAAAGCUUCAUGCCAAAGAAGAGCAUCAAGAAGCUGGUGAUCCGAAAAGGUAGCUCCAACUCCAGUUCACCUAGCCGUGCCUCAUCAGUGUUGGGAGAGUCAGAGAAUCACAGCGUUAAUGAAGCUGACCUCACACAGAAUGGGAACUCAUUCUUGCAUGACAGACUAGAGAAAGAGCAGAGAAUUCCUGAGGUCCACAUUCCAUCAAAACCUAUGUCAGAAAACUUUGACGACACAAUAUCGCAAUUGAAUGUUCAUAAACGAGUUCCUAUAACAUCUAAAUCUCCGGAUGACACGGAUCUCAGUCUGAAUCAAACAGUAGAUGAAAGCGUCGAGAGACCUACCACACCUCCACCACCUAACUUGGCAGGUAUAGUCCUGACUCGUCCUGGGUACUACACAAUACCCUCAGUGGAGGAGCUUUGUGAGCUAGUGGAUGAGAAUGGAGACUGUUUUGUGGAUGGCUUUACUGUGGGGAGGGAGGGAUACGGAAGCAUAUUCUUCCCCGGACAGAUCAAUGUAGCCAACCUCAAUCUGGAUGAAAUUGUGCAUAUUCGACGUAAGGAGGUCAUCGUGUACCCAGAUGAUGAUAACAAGCCGCCCGAGGGUGAGGAUUUGAACAGGAAGGCAGAGAUCACCCUAGACUGUGUGUGGCCCACAGAUAAAACAACUCGAUCCUACAUUAAGGAUCCAGAGAGAUUAAAGACCUUAGGAUACCAUGAGAAAAUGGAAGAAAUUACAGCUCGUAUUGGUGGCAGGUUCUUGGACUAUCGACCAGAAACUGGCUCAUGGGUGUUUGAGGUGAAACAUUUUACAAAGUAUGGUUUGGAGGAGAGUGAUGAGGAAGACUUGUCUGCCCUUGCUCAAAUGAAGGCAACGAGUCAGAAAUUGCAAAAGACGAUUAAGUCUGGACCUACAUUGGAAGGGGAGAGGAAACCUCCUGCAUCCUCGGUGAGAGAAGCACCUGCUCCACAGCCCCAGGACACAGCUGUACCUAUGACAGACGAUGAUAUCGAGGGUCUCCCAGAUAUAUCACAGGAGACGGCCCCUGAUAGUAUGGUUGAGGACUACUCAGGUGAGGGAUACGAGGAGGAGAUGGAGGAGCAGCCUUCCUCCCAUCGCCUCGCCCAGAGUAUGGGAGUCAGUGCCCAGAACAUGCAGGUCAUGAAGGCCUCCUUCUUCCACGAGGAGGAUGUACCACAGCAGCCAGAUGUAUUGAGUUCAACUCGUCUAGAGGGAAAGCGAGGACCAAGCAUGUUUAGUUCGGCCUACAAGAAUUCUUUUAUGUCACCUGUAAAGCUUUCCAGUGUUCCAAAAAGUGCCAAUAUUGAAAAAGAAAGGGGAGCUUUUCCCCCUCGGAUAGUGACCCCCGAGCCAAUCCGGCCGGUUAAGUCUAAAUAUCAGAUGCCUCCAGUGGAUGAACACCUGCCCAUUCCAAGCGGGAUGAAGUCAGAUGAUCUUCCUCGGAGGAUUGUUGGAUCACGGAUAGCCAGGGCUAUCCCAGAGUUCAACAAAUCCAACAUGUAUGAUAAGCAGAAUGUGAUCUGGGAUGCAGGUCUAAUCCAUGGGCGGUCAUUCCGUGUAGGGUGGGGCCCAGGGUGGACACUUGCUCAUGCUGGGUUAACUGUCACUGACAGAAGCACAGGAGCAGAAGAAACUUCUUUCUCCAUGUUAUCAGGUUCAAGAAAAAGGAAAAUUGGCCAAACAAAUUGGAAUGUUGCUCUAGAGAAGCUAAAUGUGACAUCUUACUUCCAACCAGAUGACCCAAUAGUAGUGCGUAACCACGAAGAGUUGCUGUCCAUUCAGCUGGAACAUGCAGGGAGAGAUGUGGAGGAGGGGUGUCCUGUCUUUGCCCCCAGGGAUGGGGAGGUGUCCCUACAGCACAUAGUGGAGCGCAUCAAGCAGGACAAAAACGAUACAGAGGGACACCCAGACCAUGCCAGUGUUAGCUACGCAGAAACGAUCUGGAACCUGUGUGCUGCUUUGUUUGGAACGCUACCAGAUGACAUUGUGAAUAACUAUGAGCUACAGAAUGCUAGGAGAGAGGCAGUUUCUAGGUGGCUUUCUUCUACAGCCAGUGACAAAAUCAAAAAAGAGAUUCAUGAAGCCAAAUACAAGGGAAAGAAUCACCUGCCUGCUUUAUUUGCUCACCUGACAGGUAGACAGGUAGCAGCAGCCUGCAGCCUGUCCCAGAAGAGUGGGGACACACGGCUGGCAUUGGUCCUCUCACAGUGCAUGGGUAGUCCCUAUCCCAAACAUUUACUGGAUAUGCAGCUCAAUGAAUGGGCCGAGUUAGGGGCCUACAAGUUUAUAGAGGAGCUGAGACUGAAGCUGUACGUUCUCCUUGCUGGUCGAAUGGUGUGGCAGACUCCUCAAUCUGUCGUCAACACUUGUAUGGACUUGGACUGGAAGAGGGCUUUUGCACUUCAUUUAUGGUACAUGUGCCCUCCAACUGCACCAGCCCAGAUCACCAAAGCUCUGGAGGAGUAUGAAAUGGGUUGUAGUGGAGAUUCACCCUUGGGGAUGUAUUGUAGCCCUCCAUUGCCACCAUAUCUAGAGGAAGAUCAAAUGGGGGACACAGAAAAUAUCCGAGAUACUGCAUACCAUUUGCUCAAGUUAUACUCUGAAAGGACCUAUGCCCUUGAAAGUCUUUUUAAUCCUAGAUCUUCAUCUGCAAAUCACAUGGACUAUAGACUGAGCUGGCACCUGCUGCAGGUACUUCAGUCUGUGCAGGCCCAGUAUCGCCAUCUGUCGGCCUACAACACCACCUGUCUACACCUCAGCUUCGCCGCUCAGCUCGAGUCCAUAGGAAUGUGGGAGUGGGCGGUCUUUGUAGUCCUACAUCUGGAAGACAGAAGAAGUCGAGAGUGGAGGACGCGAGAUCUGUUACACAGAUAUGUCUCGGUAGAGGAAGAGUUCAAUGAACAGGAAGUCUUUGUUAGAGAAAAGCUUGGUGUACCAGUCGAAUGGAUUCACUACGCAAAGGCUCUGAAAGCUCGGAAUGAUAGAAAUCACCAUGCUGAAGCCGUUCACUUGCUGAACUCAAAGCGAUGGAAUGAGUGUCAUAAAGUCUUGCUGUGCCAUUUGUCAUCAGACGCCAUUAUUAAUGAAAAUCAUGGCUACCUGCAUCGAUUUCUGGUGGAGUUGGCCCCACAUGACAGGUGUAAGCAGAUCGUGGACUGGUCGGCUGGGGGUCAGGUGUUACUGGAUUACAUCACACUGGUCAGCAAACUGGAACAAAUAAAACUAGACAUCGAGAGAAAUGAGCAUGGAAGAGGUGUAGCUGUUGAUAGUUUACGGACAGACAUUACAUCAUUAUGUGACAGAAUAUCUAAUUUACCUUGUUACCAAUCCAGAGACAGGCUGUGCCAGUCAGAGAUAUCUAAGAGACUGUCUGUUCUCUUCCACACCAUUCUUAAUUUACAAGGAGAUCAAGACCUCUCUGUCAGAUUAAUGGCACCCUACAUAGGACAGUUACCAAUGCCAGAAGAUUACAGACUGCAGGAACUGAGCAGUUUGACUCGCAAUUUCUCAGCCAGUUAUUUAAGGCUAUAAACUGAAAAGAAAGACUUUUAAGUAAUUUAAACAGUCAAACUCAUCUUGAAUCUAUGUGCAAACUGUACUCCAAAGGGAUGAAUGCCUGUUCUUUGUAUGAGAACAUGUGCUGUUGCAGAUUUUAUCAAUUCCCCUAUGUUCAGAAUGUUUGUUCAUUGAAGGUAUAGAAGAAUUGAGUGUCAAGUGUUGUGGAAAUGGGAGAGAAGUGAUAUUGUUUAUGAGAAAUAGGGAGAAUUACCGGUACUCAUGACUUUCAAAAUGUCAAUGGAAAUUGAAAGCACUUCAUUAAAUCACAGAACAGCUGAAUGUUGUGAAUAUUUACAUGUAUGAACGUUAUUGUUUGUAUUGAUAAAAUAAAAAAAAAUGAAUGAAA